rnacentral:sRNA from 10 species
UAACUGAUCUUUGAUAUUAUCGUUUCAUGACAAAAUCCGCGGUACAUUUUUUACAAAAAAUACUAAUAUUUUAUUUCGCACAUAGAAAAUUAAAUUUAAUCUACAAGCUGUGGAAAAACCUGUUGAAAAAGGCUCAAAAAGUGGAUAACUUGCUGGGAUCAAGGUUAAAACUGGGUUUUUCGGAUGUUUUCCUAAGUAUUAAUACUUCAUCAAUAUAUGGUUAAAUAUAGUUUAAUAAUCAAUUAAACUAAUUGAAAUAACAAUG